AGAGUUUGAUCCUGGAUCAGGACGGACGCUGGCGGCGUGCUUAAUACAUGCAGUCGAGCGAUCUUAGGAGCUGCUCUAAGGUAGCGCGACGGGUGAGUACACGUGGGCACUACUGUAAGACUGGGAUAACUUCGGGAAACCGGAGCUAUACCGGAUAUCCUUUCCUCUCAUGAGGGAAAGCUGAAAGACGGUUUCGGCUGUCACUUACAGAUGGGCCCGCGGCGCAUUAGCCAGUUGGUGAGGUAACGGCUCACCAAGGCGACGAUGCGUAGCCGACUGAGAGGGUGAUCGGCCACACUGGGACUGAGACACGGCCCAGGCUCUACGGGAGGCAGCAGUAGGGAAUCUUCCGCAAUGGACGAAAGUCUGACGGAGCAGCGCCGCGUGAACGAUGAAGGCCUUCGGGUCGUAAAGUUCUGUUGUUAGGGAAGAACAAAUACCGGAGUAACUGCCGGUACCUUGACGGUACCUAACCAGAAAGCCACGGCUAACUACGUGCCAGCAGCCGCGGUAAUACGUAGGUGGCAAGCGUUGUCCGGAAUUAUUUGGCGCAAAGCGCGCGCAGGCGGUCCUUUAAGUCUGAUGUGAAAGCCCACGGCUCAACCGUGGAGGGUCAUUGGAAACUGGGGGACUUGAGUACAGAAGAGGAAAGUGGAAUUCCACGUGUAGCGGUGAAAUGCGUAGAGAUGUGGAGGAACACCAGUGGCGAAGGCGACUUUCUGGUCUGUAACUGACGCUGAGGCGCGAAAGCGUGGGGAGCAAACAGGAUUAGAUACCCUGGUAGUCCACGCCGUAAACGAUGAGUGCUAAGUGUUAGAGGGUUCCCGCCCUUUAGUGCUGCAGCUAACGCAUUAAGCACUCCGCCUGGGGAGUACGGCCGCAAGGCUGAAACUCAAAUGAAUUGACGG
rnacentral:rRNA from 1 species